GACGAACGCGGCGGCGUGCCUAAUACAUGCAAGUCGAACGAGAGCGACCGGUGCUUGCACUGGUCAAUCUAGUGGCGAACGGGUGAGUAACACGUGGGUAACCUACCCAUCAGAGGGGGAUAACAUCCGGAAACGGAUGCUAAAACCGCAUAGGUCUUCGAGCUGCAUGGCUUGAAGAGGAAAAGAGGCGCAAGCUUCUACUGAUGGAUGGACCCGCGGUGCAUUAGCUAGUUGGUGAGGUAACGGCUCACCAAGGCCGUGAUGCAUAGCCGACCUGAGAGGGUGAUCGGCCACAUUGGGACUGAGACACGGCCCAAACUCCUACGGGAGGCAGCAGUAGGGAAUCUUCCGCAAUGGACGCAAGUCUGACGGAGCAACGCCGCGUGAGUGAAGAAGGUUUUCGGAUCGUAAAACUCUGUUGUUAGAGAAGAAACAA
rnacentral:rRNA from 1 species